rnacentral:rRNA from 1 species
GACGAACGCUGGCGGCGUGCUUAACACAUGCAAGUCGAACGGAAAGGCCCUGCUUUUGUGGGGUGCUCGAGUGGCGAACGGGUGAGUAACACGUGAGUAACCUGCCCUUGACUUUGGGAUAACUUCAGGAAACUGGGGCUAAUACCGGAUAGGAGCUCCUGCUGCAUGGUGGGGGUUGGAAAGUUUCGGCGGUUGGGGAUGGACUCGCGGCUUAUCAGCUUGUUGGUGGGGUAGUGGCUUACCAAGGCUUUGACGGGUAGCCGGCCUGAGAGGGUGACCGGCCACAUUGGGACUGAGAUACGGCCCAGACUCCUACGGGAGGCAGCAGUGGGGAAUAUUGCACAAUGGGCGGAAGCCUGAUGCAGCAACGCCGCGUGCGGGAUGACGGCCUUCGGGUUGUAAACCGCUUUCGCCUGUGACGAAGCGUGAGUGACGGUAAUGGGUAAAGAAGCACCGGCUAACUACGUGCCAGCAGCCGCGGUGAUACGUAGGGUGCGAGCGUUGUCCGGAUUUAUUGGGCGUAAAGGGCUCGUAGGUGGUUGAUCGCGUCGGAAGUGUAAUCUUGGGGCUUAACCCUGAGCGUGCUUUCGAUACGGGUUGACUUGAGGAAGGUAGGGGAGAAUGGAAUUCCUGGUAGAGCGGUGGAAUGCGCAGAUAUCAGGAGGAACACCAGUGGCGAAGGCGGUUCUCUGGGCCUUUCCUGACGCUGAGGAGCGAAAGCGUGGGGAGCGAACAGGCUUAGAUACCCUGGUAGUCCACGCUGUAAACGGUGGGUACUAGGUGUGGGGUCCAUUCCACGGGUUCCGUGCCGUAGCUAACGCUUUAAGUACCCCGCCUGGGGAGUACGGCCGCAAGGCUAAAACUCAAAGGAAUUGACGGGGCCCCGCACAAGCGGCGGAGCAUGCGGAUUAAUUCGAUGCAACGCGUAGAACCUUACCUGGGUUUGACAUGGAUCGGGAGUGCUCAGAGAUGGGUGUGCCUCUUUUGGGGUCGGUUCACAGGUGGUGCAUGGCUGUCGUCAGCUCGUGUCGUGAGAUGUUGGGUUAAGUCCCGCAACGAGCGCAACCCUUGUUCACUGUUGCCAGCACGUUAUGGUGGGGACUCAGUGGAGACCGCCGGGGUCAACUCGGAGGAAGGUGGGGAUGACGUCAAGUCAUCAUGCCCCUUAUGUCCAGGGCUUCACGCAUGCUACAAUGGCUGGUACAGAGAGUGGCGAGCCUGUGAGGGUGAGCGAAUCUCGGAAAGCCGGUCUCAGUUCGGAUUGGGGUCUGCAACUCGACCUCAUGAAGUCGGAGUCGCUAGUAAUCGCAGAUCAGCAACGCUGCGGUGAAUACGUUCCCGGG